UUAACAAGACGAGACAUAAAAGAGGAGAAAAGUUCACGGUGUUCGAGGGUCACUGCAGUGUCGGAGCAAGCGGCCUUCAUAGGUCGGCGUGAGAGCGAGAAGGUCACGUCCAGGACUCACCUUCUCAUUGGCCAGAUGCAGCAGAGCGACGAAGGCCAAGGGCACGGACAGGUUACUGGCCAUGGUGCCGGGCAGCCUGGAACGGGAAACGAGCGAAAGGCACGAAUUAGUAUAUAAUCGAUCCUGGUGCGCGAAGGAGAGCUGCGCUCCUUCAGGCAUGCGACAGGGCUGUCUGUCAGGAGGCUCCACAUGCUGCUCUUCAGGCGCUUCAUAUCCAUCUUCUUGGCCGUCUUGGCGUAAUUAAUCUCAAUGAUGUUGACCUGGAAC